AAAUCUCAAGGCCUGUCUGAAUUUGAUAGGUAUUGGAUUUUGGGGGUUGCAGGCUUUUUUUUAAAAAAAAUAGCCUGCUCUCCUUGAAUGUAUUAGUGGAGAAAAGGCCAUUUGAACUCCAUUGGUGUGAUAUAAGCUAUCAAUGCCAGGAGUAUGUUGGUCCUAUCUGCUGUCUAACUGUUUGGAAAGACCCAGACAACUUGACCCAAC
rnacentral:misc_RNA from 1 species